AGGGGAUUAGUUUAAUGGUAGAACGGAGGACUCCAAACCCUCAUAUACGGGUUCGAUUCCUGUAUCCCCUGCCA
rnacentral:tRNA from 1 species